rnacentral:misc_RNA from 1 species
AGCACACAAACACUUCCCAGACUAACGUCACGCUUCGUCGCACCGCGUCCUCUAUGACAACAUCGAUGAAACCGGUGCCAAAACGUACGAAACUAGGUUCGAACACGAAAACAGUAUGCAAGCCAGUCUGGAGCGCCUGGUGAAGCGCACCCUGUGACCUUUGUGCAUUCGCUUACUGGCCCAGGAAACUGGGCGCUGGUGAAAGGUUUUCUUGGGUCUGUUCAUGAAGACAGAUGGCGAGCUGGUGGAGCCACCAGCGGUCGAGAUGGAGCGGGUUCAGAAGAGCUGUCGCAACGAGAGCGACACACGUUUUAUACCACCCAAGCGCAUCGUGUUGCUCUCGGUCUCGGACUGGUAACCGUCGUGCGCGAAGGAUACUUGAGACGUGACGCCUGCCCUACUAGCGUCUUGCGCUGCGACGUAUUCCAGAGCAGAGCGCUGCAGAGCAGCACAGAGCCUAGUGGUGCAGCGCGGUAGAGGCGCCCUCCCCGAACCCGAGCGACCUUGUCUCCCGAAGCGUCUACUCCAUGUCAUCUCUGUACGUCGGGUACAGACCCAUGAUGUCGGCAUAGAUCCUUGCGCCGCCUACUUGAUAUCCUCCUGAGUAAGCUGCAGCUGAUCUCUGCGAGCAACUGUGCUUCUUGCGAACAGCUUCGCGUAGGGCAUCGGCGGAGCUCGUUCCAGGUUUCUCCUUUGCAAGCAGCACUUGAGAAGCGGUUUCCAGCGACCAUGGAGACCGAUGGAAUACCAGCGAGCGUGCACUUUGUGAAACCUAUGCCUCAGUCGCACAGCGACCCUCGUUUUCAUCUGUUCAUGGCAAGUGAGGAGCCAGACUCUGUGGUGAGCGUUGUUCCCGGUUUGCAGAAUAUAUCAUGACCGCCGCCAUACCGCUCAAUCGAGAGGACUUGUCCGAAGAUAUGAACUGAAAGUGGAUACACCUGCGCAACUUCCCCAGGACUCUAUGUGAUUGCGGUUCAGAUCCGAUGGGUGCCGAGAGACAAACCGCCAGCAAGCUGACUGACGGCAGCGUGAGCCGUCUCGACACCCCGUGCACCGCGUCCGGGAGAGACGGACGCUUCCCGUGCCUCAUUCAGUGUGCUCUUGAGCGUUCACUCUGCUGAUGCGAAAGGUCUCCGGCAAGCGUCCAAGAGACCGCGAUGCGGUUGCGCAGAGGCAAGAAUCGCGCAUUCACCAACUUCCGGAAUGAAAUGGAAAAGGCUGGGCCUGACAAGUCGCGUCGCUCGGUGGUAGCGUAGGGCGCUGGACACGCUGUAGCGUGCGACGGGUACCGCCCUGUGCCUUCGACGAAAGCUUGCAACAACUCAACAACUCCAGAAUCGAUUCCUGCACGAUUCCCAUCGAUGGAUUCGAGACCACAAAAGGGUGCAUCACGGGCGCGAGUACGAGCCGGAACCUGCCGAGAAAACGAGCGUGAAGCAGAGCGAGUCUGGUGCACGAGAUGGCGAACACGAAGCUGAGCAAAUGUCAUCAGGGGAGGCGAUCGAAAAUGAGCGGCCUGCUAUGGUACGAUUCCACCGGCAAGCAUGCACGCGAGCUCUCUCUGUCUCUGUCUCUCUCUAUCUCUCUCUGGAUCUCGACUUGAACACCCUGAUGGAUAUCCGAGAAUGUCGCGUGCUUUCGGGGCGCCCAGCGCCUUGGUGCCGAGCGAUCUUUCGAUUGAACUGUGGAGGAAUCGGUCUAGGCAAUGUGGUGAAAUGCCGAAACGCUCCGAUGGAAUAGAAUCCGUCAUGAAGUGACAGCGCUUUGGAUUCUCAUUCGAAGCACGGCACCGGGAUGGAGCUAUUGAGCAAUCCAGCACAACUGGAGCGCUCUACAUAUGAACAUCAAGAACGAUUCUCCUGGGCCAUUGGUACUCGAUAAUCAUCUUCUAUUCUUUGGGUACCGCGAAGUACAUCCCAAAGGCAACCUGCAGACCUGGACGAUGUUACCCGGACACCAGUCGAGAAACAGAUAAGAGCGGCACAUUGCCCAGCUUUUCCCGCUUGCGUACGCGCGUGCACAAACGAGGCCUCGUGCAGCGCCCAGCGGCUUGGCGCUUUCAAGGACGUUCAUGCCAAGUGUCAAUCACUGUAAGGGCCCAAAAGCAACACGAGCUUCUUGACAGGUGUAAAGAUUCC